GUCUACAGCCAUGCCACCCUGAACAAGCCCAAUCCCAUCUGAUCUUGGAAGCUAACCAGAGUCGGGCCCGGUUAGUACUUGGAGACCACCUAGGAAGACCAGGUGCUGUAGGCA
rnacentral:rRNA from 1 species